UAGGGAAUCUUCCACAAUGGACGCAAGUCUGAUGGAGCAACGCCGCGUGAGUGAAGAAGGUUUUCGGAUCGUAAAGCUCUGUUGUUGGUGAAGAAGGAUAGAGGCAGUAACUGGUCUUUAUUUGACGGUAAUCAACCAGAAAGUCACGGCUAACUACGUGCCAGCAGCCGCGGUAAUACGUAGGUGGCAAGCGUUGUCCGGAUUUAUUGGGCGUAAAGCGAGCGCAGGCGGAAUGAUAAGUCUGAUGUGAAAGCCCACGGCUCAACCGUGGAACUGCAUCGGAAACUGUCAUUCUUGAGUGCAGAAGAGGAGAGUGGAACUCCAUGUGUAGCGGUGGAAUGCGUAGAUAUAUGGAAGAACACCAGUGGCGAAGGCGGCUCUCUGGUCUGCAACUGACGCUGAGGCUCGAAAGCAUGGGUAGCGAACAGGAUUAGAUACCCUGGUAGUCCAUGCCGUAAACGAUGAGCGCUAGGUGUUGGGGACUUUCCGGUUCUCAGUGCCGCAGCAAACGCAUUAAGCGCUCCGCCUGGGGAGUACGACCGCAAGGUUGAA
rnacentral:rRNA from 1 species